CAGGCUCUAGGGACUAGGUUGUGACAUCUUCAAGGGGCCAUUAUUCCACCUCCCACACCUUCCCAACCCUGGCUGUGCUGGCCCUGACUGAGAGGAGGGGGUUUCCACUUCCGUCACCUGGCAAGGGAACCUCCACAGCCCAAGAAUAUUAACAUUUAUCAGGUGCCGGGCAUGGGCCUCAUGUGUUUUAUGUAAUUCAAUCCUCCCAACAAAAGUAUGAGAAAGACCACACUCAGGCCAAGCACUGUGGUUCCCGCCUGAAAUCCCAGCGCUUUGGGAGGUGGAGGCAAGAGGAUUGCUUGAGCUCAGAAGUUCAAGACCACCCUGGGCAACACAAGCCAGCCCUGCAGCACAGCCUUCAACAUGAGCAACUCCUGCUCUCUGUAGCUCCAGCCCCAGCCUGGACCUAUCUUUCAGAGCCAUAAUGCUGAGACAGUCCCUGAGUCUUGGAUGAACACGUGAGGAGAAGAUGCUGUUCUGAGAGCUGCUGAUAAUACGUGGAUCCAAACCCACAGGCUUGAGCUGCUUAAUUGAAAUUCACGUCAAAAUGAAAUUCUGGUUUAGCUCAACUUGACUACUAUGGAUGAUGAAAAUAAAUCCCUGGGUCACACAAGGAUAGUGAUUGAGUAGAGCUUGUUUGCUGGCACAGGAAUGACAUUUCAACUGGAAUUAAAUUGUCGUCAGUUAACAGAACUGAAUUUUCAGUCAUUCUUUGACUUGAAUUUUCUUUUUUCCCAAGAUAACAUGGACAGGACCCAGGAUGAAAACAUUGAUCUGAAAUGCAUCUUCUACCUCCAGUUCAUCUGUUGACGCCCUUACCACCAAGGGAGGUGCAAGCUCCGGGAAGAGACCUUGAGAAGAAUGGAAAGAAAAACACCAGGAAAAACACAAAUGCUGUGUGAUGAGUCACUGUGUUGACUGAGAUCUCAUGACAAACUGCACAAAGACAUAGCAGG
rnacentral:lncRNA from 1 species